GACUCAUGAGACUCUCACAGAAACCUCUCCUGCCUCGUUUUUUUCAGAAAAUGAGAAACAAUAUUACAACACCGUAAAUAAUGAUAGUGGCAUUGACAUACAAUUUCAUGUUAUGUUUACCAGACUUGGCAUACAAAAUUAUAUCUUGUUAAAUGUUACAAGAUAUAAUUUUGUAUGCCGAGUCUGGUAAUCCCAGGGAAGUAGGCUACAUGUAAAUGCUGACAACUAAACACUGUCUUAAAGGGGUCAUAUGAUGCGAUUUCAAGUUUUUCUUUCACUUUGGAGUGUUACAAGCUCUUGUUGCAUAAAGAAGAUCUGUAAAGUUGACAAGACUAAAGUCUCAAACCCAAAGAGAUAUUCCUUAUAAAAGUUAAGACUUGUCCAUGGCCUCCUAAAACGCCUUGUUUAGUCACGACCCCACAUGUCUACAUCAUGAUGUAGGAAGAUUUACAUAACGCCACCCAAAAUGUUCAUGCAAUGAAAGAAGGCAUUGAUUCUCGCUGUUGCCGCUGGUGCCAUGUCGCGGAGAUGCUGUUUCGCUGUGAAAGCGAAAAUACUUUCCUUGGCCUUCCAAAAGAGGACACAACUAGGAAUCGGUCGCUGUGAUUUUGCCAGGUAAGACAUGUUCCUGGAUCAACAUCUUUUGAUGAUCCUGGAUCAACAUUAUUGUCCCAAUCCCUACCCCUAAACCUAAACUUACCCAUAAUUUAUUCAUAAAAUCAGUGGGAGUGUUUCCUGAUCCUGAGAGAGAAGACUAAAAUGCCGGCUGUUUUGACUCACCGUCUAGUGCAUGGAUACUGGACCACAUCAACCUCUGGAUAUUGCAAUGUGUCAAUGACUGUUAUACAACACACUAACCUUAAGCUAAAAGUGUGGCAGCACAACCUUGGAUGAAACUGGAAAUCAGGCAUGAAGCAAGAAAGGAGGGGAGCAACCAACCAGCCUCAGAUGCCAUUAAGAAAGGUGCUGCACUUUUUCUAAGUGUCAAUUGUUUUUGUGUCUCUUGAAGUAUAGAUGAUGUUUGAAUUCAGAGUAUUAAGUCCUGUGCCUGCUGUGUUAAAUUAUGGCCUGUGAGCGACUGGGUGGGGGUAAUCAAUGGCA
ensembl:lncRNA